CUUUACUCAAAAAGUACAACGAAUUUUGACAAGCACCCUAUUGGUCAUUAAUGUACAUGGGUAUACCUUCCUAAAAAUAUACAAUCCAUCCCUGUUGAGCCCAAUACCAGAGCCCAUACAUUUUUGCCCAUCAUCAUUUUCUUAAAAUAAUGUAAAAACCUGUGUG